UUUUAUUUGAGUUUCAGUUUAUUUACAUCAUUUAAAAAGAAAGGCCUGCUUUUUAAACAAAUCUAUACAUAAUGAUUUUUUGAUUUUUUUAUAUAAUAGAUGAAGUACAGUUCUUGAAUUCAGUGGAAAUUUUAUUUUAUUUUUUUUUAAUAUGUUAGUUACCUUUUGCUGAACUGGCAUAUGCUUUUUGGGUGUUGUUAUUUUUUUUUAAUGUUUGACAGCUUAUAUAUACUUUCAUAUCAUAUUUUCAAUGUAAUUUGGCUUGGUCUUAAGGGCUUAAAUGAACUAAUAUUAACAACAGAUCAAUGAUUCAUAGAAUUUUUUAUGUCUUUUUUUUUUUGCAACAUGUACAGUAGAAAGAAGUGAUGUGUGUGUAUAACAUAUGAUAGUUUUGUAUAAUUGUUUAAUAUUCAUGGUCUAUGAGAAAUGUAAAAAAAAAGAAAAAAGAAAAAAGAAAAAAUAUAUUUACACACAAAAAAAGUCUUUGAAAGUCAAGUCACAGAGUCAAAUUACUUUACAGGUACAUAUGAAACUGAAGGUGGGAUACUAAUUUAUAAGGGUGAAACCAAAAGUCUAAGUGUAAACUAUCAAAGCUAUUCCUUCAGGUUAAACUUGUAAAAAAAAAAUACCUUCGUCUACUGUACCAAUUAAUAUGUUGCAGAGAGCCUCUGACAAAUAAGAAUAUACCUAUACAUAUAAAAAACAGUUAAAGGAUUAACUGUAAUAGAACAAAAUAAUAAUAAUCAUGCCUCCUCAUUGAUAUGACUGUCCAAAUUGAUAUAAACAUAUCAGUCAAGACCUACCAAAAACUGAGCAAAUACAAAGGUCUUAAAUAGAAAUUAGCAAAAUGUGGAACCUGAAGACUUAAACAAUACCUGUUGUCAUACGUGCCCUGGGAAUGAUAGCAAAUGGGGCUGAUUACUACCUAGCUCAGAUACCAGGAAACACUAAAAUGGCAGAAAUUCAAAAGAUAGUACUCAUGGGAACUGCUCAUAUCCUACGCAAAAUACUUUCUAUGUAAUCUCAAGUUUUAAAACAAACAUAAUUUUCUUAUGGUUUCUUAAACAUUCUCUAGAAUAACACUAUGUACAAAACCAAAUAUAUGGCACCCUAGGCAUAACACCAACAUGAACUUCCAGCUUGUUGUCUCUUGAGGUCUCUAGGUGAGACUUGGAGCCAACUUGUACAAAUGUAAAGCAAAAGUCAAACAAAAUAAUAAUAAUAAAUAAUAAAGAUGUCUUGAAUGAAACAGAUGGGAAACAAUUCCUUCAAAACUAUGAAAUUGUCAAAGUUUGGGAUUAACAAGAAGAUCUUGAAUGAAGCCUGUUGACCUUAGUAACAGUAACUAUACUAAUAAUAUAAAAAAGUUAUUUUAAUAACACAACAUCAGAAUUGUCUCAUAACAUAAAAUUAAAAUAUGAGAUGGAGUGGCUGUAUAGUUAGGAGGUUCACUUUGCGAUCCUGUGGUUCCUGGUUCACUCCUACUGUACAGACAACUUGGCAAAUGUUUUCCAUCAGAGCUGGAGGUUGACUAAUACCUUUGGUUGACAGAAACUUCAUGGAAGUUUGGCGAAAAUAAGUGUGUAUUUGUUUCUGUGUAUUUUGGUGCAAAUUCCCCGUGAUGUUGUUUAUUUCCUACUGGGAGGUACCUCCCUCACAAGGAACAUAACCAAAGAUAAACAUAGCCAUUUGAUAAAUAGAGAAGAAUAAAAUAAAUAUCAAAGUACUAGGGUUGAUAUAAUAUAUUAAUACUCGUGGAGACAGUACUGCAAGCAUGGAUGAAGUUCAAUUAUUGAUGCCAGCAAAUGAUAAAAGAAUUAAGAACAGUAUAAGUAUUGCACUACAAUAAAAGAUCAUAUAUACAAAUGUAAAACAUUCUUAAAAUAUGAAGUAUAAAGUAUACUUAACAUAUAAACAGCCAAAGAAAAGUGAAAUGGCAAACAUAUGAGUUGUUAAUAACAGAAAUAAUAAAAUUAUGAAACAUAAAAUGAUUUUUCUUCUUCUUUUUUUUUAACUUAGUCAACUGGAAAGUAUUGAAAAUGGAAUCCUAAAAGGAGAUAAUACAAGAGUAUUUUAAGAAAAGAGCAGAAUACAAGACAACGGAGUAGAAAAGAGAUAGCAAGGGAGCAUCUACAUGGCUGUUCAACCUACUAAAAAUAGCAGCCAAAUUUUUCUCACAUCACAGCCUACAUUCUUAAAAAAAAGGAAGUAUAUAUCGGUUAAUGCAGAUCCAGAUAUACAAGGAGGGAUGAGGAUGAUCAUGGUUCGAUCAUAAAUUUGCUUGAUGAAGGCCAAAAUGGUUAAAUUCAUGAAUUUGGAUAAGUUUAGUAUGUCAGAAUAAGUCUAGUACAUUCCAGAACUGACACUUUAUCAGAGAUAAGAUUUAAGAAGAAAACAAAAUUAUUAACUGUAAACUAUCAGAUUCUUCUCCUCCUGAUAGUAUACAAACUUAUGAAUUUUAAUGUAUAAUUUUUGGCAGACACACACACACAUGUAUGUAUGCACACACACACUCAUGCACAUAUACACUCACCCACAUUAUUACUAUUUUAAUGCUUGCGUUUCAAUGUUUACUUAUAUCAAGCAGAAUUAACUGAGACAGAUUUAUGUCAGCAACUAUCACCAUUUCCCAACUAGUUAAUAUUUCCUGUGGAUGGACAUAUAUUCACAGAAGAUUGGAAACCAAUGAUGCUGCCUGCAAGAAGGUGAUGCUUGUUUACCGUAAAUCCUCGAGUAUAAUCCGCAUUUUUUUCCCAAUUGAUGUCAAGCGAUGUUGGGGUGACAAACACAGACACACAAACAUAUACACACAUACAUACAUAUAUAUAUAUAUAUAUAUAUAUAUAUACGAUGGACUUCUUUUCAGUUUCCGUCUACCAAAUCCACUCACAAGGCUUUGGUCAGCCCAUGGCUAUAGUAGAAGACACUUGCCCAAGGUGCCACGCAGUGAGACUGAACCCGGAACCAUGUGGUUCAUAAGCAAGCUACUUACCACACAGCCACUCCUACGCCUAUCACAUGUUUAUAUCAAUUUGCAUUUCCAUAACGUCACAUGUUUGCACCAAUUUAAUAGGUGAACCAGGAAAUGUUGAAUGAAUUGUCCUACCUAGAAAUAGUCAGUUAUGCUUGAUUGUUUAGUUUAACACACUAUCUGUUAAGGUUAUUUUUUUUUUUUAUUUGACAGUUAAAGACAGGACAAUAUUUAAAAUAACAAAAUAAAAUUGCUCAUUUUACACACACACACUGGUUUUGUGCUAAAAAGUGGGUUCAGUGCUGCGCAACUCUUUAUCUACACAAAUUCACAGAGGAACUUCCUGGGCUUUUGAAAUGUUUGCACGGACUUACAGAAUUUAGGAAGUGGUCUUACAUGUUCACAAGUUUACUUUCAACACACACACAUGCUCACUCUAAUACACGUGUGUGUGUGUGGUUCUCUAUCAAUUUCAACAAAGAUUCAGUUGUUUGAUUAAUUGAAUCAUUUGCUUAUCGACUUAACUCGUGUGUGGCCAGGCCAUUCCACAGACAAGUGCAAUAUUAAAGUAAUUCUCAGGUGGAAUCACCUACAAGAUACUGCAUUUGACAAGGCUUUACCUUUGAAUUACAGGUACAAUCUACAUGAUAUACUUCUACAUAGUUUCUUAUUUCUUUAUUGCCCACAAGGGGCUAAACAUAGAGGGGAUAACACAAGGACAGACAAAGGGAUUUAGUCGAUUACAUCGACCUCAGUGCGCAACUGGUACUUAAUUUAUCGACCCCGAAAGGAUAAAAGGCAAAGUCGACCUCAGCGGAAUUUGAACUCAGAACGUUUAGACAGACGAAAUACCUCUAAGUAUUUCACCCGGCAAAGUAGCGUUUCUGCCAGUUUUCAUCCACCCAAUUUCAUUCACAGGUAUGAGUCAAUUCAAGGCUAUAGAAAAUAACAUUUACCCAAGAUGGUAUGCACUGUGAUCAAACAGGAUGCUUCUUGGUUACAAAGUAAACAUGCUGACCACUUAGUUAUACUGUACCUAUAUGUAUAUAUAUAAUUUUAUGGAAGCAGAUAUUCCAUUAAUGAAACUCCAAGGGUUGCUUUUUGGUUCAUUAGGCAGUUCUCACUCAACAUGGAAUGUAGAUUUAUAUAUACUCUUUACUCUUUUACUUGUUUCAGUCAUUUGACUGUGGCCAUGCUGGAGCACUGCAUUUAGUUGAGAAAAUCGACCCCAGGACUUAUUCUUUGUAAGCCUAGUACUUAUUCUAUCGGUCUCUUUUGCCAAACCGCUAAGUUAUGGGGACAUAAACACACCAGCAUCGGUUUUCAAGCGAUGUUGGGGGGACAAACAUAUACAAACACAUACGUACGUACGUACAUACAUACAUACAUACAUACAUAUACAUACAUACAUACAUACAUACACACACACACACACACAUAUAUACAACAGGCUUCUUUCAGUUUCCGUCUACCAAAUCCACUCACAAGACUUUGGUUGGCCUGAGGCUAUAGUAGAAGACACUUGCCCAAGGUGCCAUACAGUGGGACUGAACCUGGUACCAUGUGGUUGGUAAGCAAGCUACUUACCACACAGCCACAUAUAAUUUAGGUUCUUUUAGUAAGUUACAAAAUAUUUCAAAGUAUACACAUAAUUUGAU
rnacentral:lncRNA from 1 species